GGGUUGUGAGGUUAAGCGACUAAGCGUACACGGUGGAUGCCCUGGCAGUCAGAGGCGAUGAAGGACGUGCUAAUCUGCGAUAAGCGUCGGUAAGGUGAUAUGAACCGUUAUAACCGGCGAUUUCCGAAUGGGGAAACCCAGUGUGAUUCGUCACACUAUCAUUAACUGAAUCCAUAGGUUAAUGAGGCGAACCGGGGGAACUGAAACAUCUAAGUACCCCGAGGAAAAGAAAUCAACCGAGAUUCCCCCAGUAGCGGCGAGCGAACGGGGAGCAGCCCAGAGCCUGAAUCAGUGUGUGUGUUAGUGGAAGCGUCUGGAAAGGCGCGCGAUACAGGGUGACAGCCCCGUACACAAAAAUGCACAUGCUGUGAGCUCGAUGAGUAGGGCGGGACACGUGGUAUCCUGUCUGAAUAUGGGGGGACCAUCCUCCAAGGCUAAAUACUCCUGACUGACCGAUAGUGAACCAGUACCGUGAGGGAAAGGCGAAAAGAACCCCGGCGAGGGGAGUGAAAAAGAACCUGAAACCGUGUACGUACAAGCAGUGGGAGCACGCUUAGGCGUGUGACUGCGUACCUUUUGUAUAAUGGGUCAGCGACUUAUAUUCUGUAGCAAGGUUAACCGAAUAGGGGAGCCGAAGGGAAACCGAGUCUUAACUGGGCGUUAAGUUGCAGGGUAUAGACCCGAAACCCGGUGAUCUAGCCAUGGGCAGGUUGAAGGUUGGGUAACACUAACUGGAGGACCGAACCGACUAAUGUUGAAAAAUUAGCGGAUGACUUGUGGCUGGGGGUGAAAGGCCAAUCAAACCGGGAGAUAGCUGGUUCUCCCCGAAAGCUAUUUAGGUAGCGCCUCGUGAAUUCAUCUCCGGGGGUAGAGCACUGUUUCGGCAAGGGGGUCAUCCCGACUUACCAACCCGAUGCAAACUACGAAUACCGGAGAAUGUUAUCACGGGAGACACACGGCGGGUGCUAACGUCCGUCGUGAAGAGGGAAACAACCCAGACCGCCAGCUAAGGUCCCAAAGUCAUGGUUAAGUGGGAAACGAUGUGGGAAGGCCCAGACAGCCAGGAUGUUGGCUUAGAAGCAGCCAUCAUUUAAAGAAAGCGUAAUAGCUCACUGGUCGAGUCGGCCUGCGCGGAAGAUGUAACGGGGCUAAACCAUGCACCGAAGCUGCGGCAGCGACGCUGAUGCGUUGUUGGGUAGGGGAGCGUUCUGUAAGCCUGCGAAGGUGUGCUGUGAGGCAUGCUGGAGGUAUCAGAAGUGCGAAUGCUGACAUAAGUAACGAUAAAGCGGGUGAAAAGCCCGCUCGCCGGAAGACCAAGGGUUCCUGUCCAACGUUAAUCGGGGCAGGGUGAGUCGACCCCUAAGGCGAGGCCGAAAGGCGUAGUCGAUGGGAAACAGGUUAAUAUUCCUGUACUUGGUGUUACUGCGAAGGGGGGACGGAGAAGGCUAUGUUGGCCGGGCGACGGUUGUCCCGGUUUAAGCGUGUAGGCUGGUUUUCCAGGCAAAUCCGGAAAAUCAAGGCUGAGGCGUGAUGACGAGGCACUACGGUGCUGAAGCAACAAAUGCCCUGCUUCCAGGAAAAGCCUCUAAGCAUCAGGUAACAUCAAAUCGUACCCCAAACCGACACAGGUGGUCAGGUAGAGAAUACCAAGGCGCUUGAGAGAACUCGGGUGAAGGAACUAGGCAAAAUGGUGCCGUAACUUCGGGAGAAGGCACGCUGAUAUGUAGGUGAAGUCCCUCGCGGAUGGAGCUGAAAUCAGUCGAAGAUACCAGCUGGCUGCAACUGUUUAUUAAAAACACAGCACUGUGCAAACACGAAAGUGGACGUAUACGGUGUGACGCCUGCCCGGUGCCGGAAGGUUAAUUGAUGGGGUCAGCGCAAGCGAAGCUCUUGAUCGAAGCCCCGGUAAACGGCGGCCGUAACUAUAACGGUCCUAAGGUAGCGAAAUUCCUUGUCGGGUAAGUUCCGACCUGCACGAAUGGCGUAAUGAUGGCCAGGCUGUCUCCACCCGAGACUCAGUGAAAUUGAACUCGCUGUGAAGAUGCAGUGUACCCGCGGCAAGACGGAAAGACCCCGUGAACCUUUACUAUAGCUUGACACUGAACAUUGAGCCUUGAUGUGUAGGAUAGGUGGGAGGCUUUGAAGUGUGGACGCCAGUCUGCAUGGAGCCGACCUUGAAAUACCACCCUUUAAUGUUUGAUGUUCUAACGUGGACCCGUAAUCCGGGUUGCGGACAGUGUCUGGUGGGUAGUUUGACUGGGGCGGUCUCCUCCUAAAGAGUAACGGAGGAGCACGAAGGUUGGCUAAUCCUGGUCGGACAUCAGGAGGUUAGUGCAAUGGCAUAAGCCAGCUUGACUGCGAGCGUGACGGCGCGAGCAGGUGCGAAAGCAGGUCAUAGUGAUCCGGUGGUUCUGAAUGGAAGGGCCAUCGCUCAACGGAUAAAAGGUACUCCGGGGAUAACAGGCUGAUACCGCCCAAGAGUUCAUAUCGACGGCGGUGUUUGGCACCUCGAUGUCGGCUCAUCACAUCCUGGGGCUGAAGUAGGUCCCAAGGGUAUGGCUGUUCGCCAUUUAAAGUGGUACGCGAGCUGGGUUUAGAACGUCGUGAGACAGUUCGGUCCCUAUCUGCCGUGGGCGCUGGAGAACUGAGGGGGGCUGCUCCUAGUACGAGAGGACCGGAGUGGACGCAUCACUGGUGUUCGGGUUGUCAUGCCAAUGGCACUGCCCGGUAGCUAAAUGCGGAAGAGAUAAGUGCUGAAAGCAUCUAAGCACGAAACUUGCCCCGAGAUGAGUUCUCCCUGACUCCUUGAGAGUCCUGAAGGAACGUUGAAGACGACGACGUUGAUAGGCCGGGUGUGUAAGCGCAGCGAUGCGUUGAGCUAACCGGUACUAAUGAACCGUGAGGCUUAACCUUACAACGCCGAAGCUGUU
rnacentral:rRNA from 3 species